rnacentral:rRNA from 1 species
UACGUAGGGCGCAAGCGUUGUCCGGGAUUAUUGGGCGUAAAGAGCUCGUAGGCGGCUUGUCACGUCGGGUGUGAAAGACCGGGGCUUAACCCCGGUUCUGCAUUCGAUACGGGCUAGCUAGAGUGUGGUAGGGGAGAUCGGAAUUCCUGGUGUAGCGGUGAAAUGCGCAGAUAUCAGGAGGAACACCGGUGGCGAAGGCGGAUCUCUGGGCCAUUACUGACGCUGAGGAGCGAAAGCGUGGGGAGCGAACAGG